GACGAACGCUGGCGGCGUGCUUAACACAUGCAAGUCGAACGGAAAGGCCCUGCUUUUGUGGGGUGCUCGAGUGGCGAACGGGUGAGUAACACGUGAGUAACCUGCCCUUGACUUUGGGAUAACUUCAGGAAACUGGGGCUAAUACCGGAUAGGAGCUCCUGCUGCAUGGUGGGGGUUGGAAAGUUUCGGCGGUUGGGGAUGGACUCGCGGCUUAUCAGCUUGUUGGUUGGGUAGUGGCUUACCAAGGCUUUGACGGGUAGCCGGCCUGAGAGGGUGACCGGCCACAUUGGGACUGAGAUACGGCCCAGACUCCUACGGGAGGCAGCAGUGGGGAAUAUUGCACAAUGGGCUGAAGCCUGAUGCAGCAACGCCGCGUGCGGGAUGACGGCCUUCGGGUUGUAAACCGCUUUCGCCUGUGACGAAGCGUGAGUGACGGUAAUGGGUAAAGAAGCACCGGCUAACUACGUG
rnacentral:rRNA from 1 species